GACGAACCGUACGAGCGUUGUUCGGAAUUACUGGGCGUAAAGGGCGCGUAGGCGGCCAUCUAAGUCAGACGUGAAAUCCCCCGGCUCAACCUGGGAACUGCGUCUGAUACUGGACGGCUUGAGUUUGGGAGAGGGAUGUAGAAUUCCAGGUGUAGCGGUGAAAUGCGUAGAUAUCUGGAGGAAUACCGGUGGCGAAGGCGGCAUCCUGGACCAAUACUGACGCUGAGGCGCGAAAGCUAGGGGAGCAAACGGG
rnacentral:rRNA from 1 species